rnacentral:lncRNA from 1 species
AUAGGAGCAGGCCCUAUUAGCAUUCACCGUAUCUGCUCAUUGACAGUGCUGCAUGUCACAUUAUCUCGUCACUGUAGGUAUCCAGUGUGCCAUCCUGCAGAAUACAUACUAUGCAUUUUGAGCAGCUGGAUCCUCUGUGCUAAGGCACUAGUCUGCCAGCUGCCUUUCUCUGUCAGGCUGUCUCACUGCAUCCCUUCUACAUUUGCACAGGGCACUCAGCCUGUGAAACUGCGAAUUUCCAUCAGUUCCCCAGCAGAAAGGUUAGCUCAAGCUUGUGAUUUGUUCCAUGCAGGCAAUGACUGGAAGUCUGAGCUUGAAAAUCCAACAGAGCCUUCACGUGGAUCCUAUAGACCUACGCCAGGAUUUGGAAAAAGGAAAAAAAAAAAAAAAAAANNNNNAAAAAAAAAAAAAAAAAGGAAAAAAAAAAACAUGUCUAGCAUUAGCUCUAAAUGCAAAAUAGUUCCCACUGGAGUUGAUUUACAUUACCAUCUUCUGCUGAUGGACAUGUGCUGCUCUAGUGACCAUCCACUAUUUGAAUGAAAGACCUGAGGCUUGAUGAGCAAAGCCAGCAUCUUGUGUUAUUUGCGGUAUUUUCAGACAUCUAUUUUGCUUCCACAGCUGAUGUGGAAGUCACAGAUUUCCUGGAGACCCUCUGUCAUGUCUGCUGAUCUUAUGCAGGUGUUUCAGAUACAGAUAUUUUGGCAACAGAACUGAGUCCCCAGUGUAUUGUAAUUGCAGAUGGGCCAUAACCAAAUCCAUUCCUUUGCUCCAGUCUCUGUCUUAGAUACUUUUGUUGUGCCUGGAAAUCUUCUGGACUAACUGCCUUGUCAACCUGUAAGAGUCCUUAUUGUCUAAUUAUCUAUUCCAGUAUAAUCAUGAAGCCUUUGAACAUUUUUGUUUCUCCCCAAGGAAAAUAUAUCUCAAUCACUAGAAAAUGACCUUCAGCUUCCAUUGUGAGCAACGAAACAAAAAGCAUUCUGAACAAUAUCAGCUUCAUCUGUACUUUUCCAUUGUCAUGCCUUGAAGUCUCAUUACUUGGUGGUGAUUUCUCAUGUUUGUAAAGAGUUUCUUUUUGUUUAUCCUAAUUUCCUUGGCCAUAUCUAUACUGUUUAUAAAUUUAACUUCCUUUAUCAACUUCAUCUCUACUUUCCUCCUCUGACACUUUCACAAUAAAACCAGCAAUUCCUGUCA